CGCGGCGGGGCAGGGCCCCCCCCCUCCUCGCCCGGCACCGCGCCGAGGCCGACUGAGGUACAUCCUCUGCGAGGAGCUGCUUCGGAGGAGCUUCCAGAGUCAGGCCUGAGAGCAGAUGAACAAGGCAGAACGGAGAGAAGGUGGCGAUAGCUCAGUUUAUGCCAGAUGCAAUUUUUUCUGAGGAAGGAACUGCAGAUAACUAGGGCAGGAGCCCUCAGCCCGGGUGCAGGCAGAGCAGCGAUCUAUCCCCGCUCCCCGCCGGCCAGCCCUCCGCAGGCAGCCGCAGCGCUUUCUCUUUUCAUGCACCAACUAGCACGCACCCUCUGUGGCUUCCUGCCCUCCUGUCCCACAGCCAGGACGGGGCCUUAAACAACUUCUAACGCCGGGCUGGGCGAUGGGGAGACUGGCCAGGCUGGUGGUGGGUCCGUUCUGUGCCUGGAACUGUACAGGAGGUGGUCCAUCUG